rnacentral:rRNA from 1 species
GACGAACGCUGGCGGCGUGCCUAACACAUGCAAGUCGAACGAGUCCAGACUUCGGUCUGAGGCGAGUGGCGGACGGGUGAGUAACACGUGAGCAAUCUAUCCCUGUGCGGGGGACAACCCGGGGAAACCCGGGCUAAUACCGCAUGGUCGGCUGGAAGGAUCUUCCGGUCGGGAAAGGUGGCCUCUUGACAAUGCUGCCGUGCAGGGAGGAGCUCGCGGGCUAUCAGCUAGCUGGUGAGGUAAUGGCUCACCAGGGCGACGACGGCUACGGGGUCUGAGAGGACGACCCCGCACAUUGGAACUGAGACACGGUCCAGACUCCUACGGGAGGCAGCAGUGGGGAAUUUUGGGCAAUGGCCGAAAGGCUGACCCAGCGACGCCGCGUGUGGGAGGAAGCCCUUCGGGGUGUAAACCACUGUCGGGAGGGACGAACGAGGGGGGCGGGAAUACCGCUCUCCUGUGACGGUACCUUCAAAGGAAGCGCCGGCUAACUCUGUGC